CCCAGUUUCUCUGUUUAGGUGCUCCGACUGAGUGACUGGCAGAUGUAGCUCAUGCGGGUGGAGCAGUGCCCGUCGUUGAGGCGUCCGCUCGUGUGCAGAGGACCGGAACUCCCCGCCUGGUUAACACACACUGGGAACACUGGGAACACUGUGCUGAGAUCAGGCCGGCUGUCUCACCCAUUCCUUGCUAGAGAGGAAGAUGACCAGGUGAGCUCCAUGUUGGUCACACCAGUUUCUGGAUUCGUUCCAGGAAAGGUAAUCGCUGCUGAAGUAAUAACAGUUGGACUCCGACCGAUCCCAACCCAGAGGACAACAGCCACCAGCUGCUGAGCCUGAGAGACAGACAGGAUGACUGCAGCCGUCAGACCAGGAAACAACCAGCGUCUGUACCUGGAGAUGCCUGAGAGGAGGACAAGCAGAGUCUCUAACAGGCAGACCGGUGGAGACACUGUUCAGGACCCAUGAUGGUGUAAAGGUUGAAGCAGCCAUCUGUGUGUGUUCGACCAAUCAGAGGUCUUCCCUUCCACCACCUCCACCUUCCUCCAGCAAGGACUUUUUGGAGCUUCAUAAUUUAGAUAACUACAUCAGACCUCAUUGGAAGAAGUCACUCACAGCAAAUGACAGGAGAAAAAAGGUUCCUCACCUCGUUAAAGCGUCUGAAACAGUCCAGCAGGACAGAAGAUGAAACAACACGAUGUAUCCUGAGCUGAAGAUUCGUCCAACGUCGGCAGAAAUAAGAAGGUUUCUUAUGCAGGUUUCACAUUUGCAAAUUUCCAGCUCAGUUCCGCCCUUUAAUCAACAAACUGUCCGGUCAUCAUUUCGGAAAUUGAUCUGGAUCUGGCCCAAACGUUUCAUAACAUUUUUCACAGCUGCAGGUCUCUGCUGAGGAGUCUGAUUGGUUCUGUCUCCAGUGAUUCACACUACUUCCCUUUUUAUUGUAGCAGUUUUUCGCAAUAGAAAACCAUCCUCAGUCAACACUUCCUCUAAAUGAACUUACAUGUACAGCAAAUUCAAAACAUACUCCACGGGAAUCAUUCAUUAAGUUUUAUAACUAAGUUGCCGAACAGAGACUCUUACCCUUCUACUUUUGUCGUAAUAAAUCUUUAAACUCAUAUCUAAGUUGGCGUGGUCUUUGUUAGUGAAGAGUUUAAUAAAGCAUUGAUUGAUCAGUGUAUAACAUAUUCAGAUGACUAUUUUUUUUAUCUUCAACAGUCACCUGGAUGUUAACAGCAAGAUGUUGGAGAUCUUCUACCAGUCUGUUGUUGCCAGCGCCAUUUUCUUUGCUGUUGUGUGUUGGGGCAGCAGCAUCAGAGCCAGCGACACCAACAGACUUGAUAAGAUCAUCAAGAAGGCUGGCUCUGUACUGGGUCUCAGGCAGGAGUCUUUGGAGACCGUGGUGGAGAGGAGGACACUGAAUAAACUGUUCUCCAUCAUGGACAAUGACCAGCACCCUCUCCAUCAUGGACAAUGACCAGCACCCUCUCCAUCAUGGACAAUGACCAGCACCCUCUCCAUCAUGGACAAUGACCAGCACCCUCUCCAUCAUGGACAAUGACCAGCACCCUCUCCAUCACACAGGCUGCUCCAGCUCCGCUGUCGAAGGGACAGAUACAGGAAGUCUUUCCUGCCUCAUGCCAUCACACUGCAUAAUAACAGCUAAAAACUUUGCACUAAAAUCAACACUGCCAAUCUGUUGUAUAUACUUUUGUACAUUACAUUUUAUUUUAUUUACUAUUGCUAUUUUGCUAUUUUAUUAUGUAUGUAUGUUUUAAAAUAUUCUUAUUCUUUAUAUCAUUAUACUAUAUGUUGUUAUCGUCACUGUAUCGUCACUAUGUGUCUGUGUAAUGCUGCUGCUACACUGUAAUUUCCCAGCUUGGAAUAUAAAGUAAUAAAGUAUAAGUAUAAGUAA